UACGUAGGGGGCUAGCGUUGUCCGGAAUCAUUGGGCGUAAAGAGCGUGUAGGCGGCCAUGCAGGUCCGUUGUGAAAACUGGAGGCUUAACCUCCAGACGUCGACGGAAACCGCGUGGCUAGAGUCCGGAAGAGGAGAGUGGAAUUCCUGGUGUAGCGGUGAAAUGCGCAGAUAUCAGGAAGAACACCAAUGGCGAAGGCAGCUCUCUGGGACGGUACUGACGCUGAGACGCGAAAGCGUGGGGAGCGAACAGG
rnacentral:rRNA from 1 species